UUGUGGACUGCGCCUUUCAUU
rnacentral:siRNA from 1 species